UACGAAGGGAGCUAGCGUUGUUCGGAAUUACUGGGCGUAAAGGGCGCGUAGGCGGACAUCUAAGUCAGGGGUGAAAUCCUGGAGCUCAACUCCAGAACUGCCUUUGAUACUGAGGAGCUUGAGUUCGGGAGAGGUGAGUGGAACUGCGAGUGUAGAGGUGAAAUUCGUAGAUAUUCGCAAGAACACCAGUGGCGAAGGCGGCUCACUGGCCCGAUACUGACGCUGAGGCACGAAAGCGUGGGGAGCAAACAGG
rnacentral:rRNA from 1 species